ACUCCUACGGGAGGCAGCMGUGGGGAAUAUUGGACAAUGGGCGAAAGCCUGAUCCAGCCAUGCCGCGUGUGUGAAGAAGGUCUCCGGAUUGUAAAGCACUUUAAGUUGGGAGGAAGGGCAGUAAGUUAAUACCUUGCUGUUUUGACGUUACCGACAGAAUAAGCACCGGCUAACUCUGUGCCAGCAGCCGCGGUAAU
rnacentral:rRNA from 1 species